AUUGAACGCUGGCGGCAGGCCUAACACAUGCAAGUCGAGCGGAUGAAGGGAGCUUGCUCCUGGAUUCAGCGGCGGACGGGUGAGUAAUGCCUAGGAAUCUGCCUGGUAGUGGGGGAUAACGUCCGGAAACGGGCGCUAAUACCGCAUACGUCCUGAGGGAGAAAGUGGGGGAUCUUCGGACCUCACGCUAUCAGAUGAGCCUAGGACGGAUUAGCUAGUUGGUGGGGUAAAGGCCUACCAAGCCGACGAUCCGUAACUGGUCUGAGAGGAUGAUCAGUCACACGGGAACUGGAACACGGUCCAGACGACUACGAGAGGCAGCAGUGGGGAAUGUUGGACAAUGGGCGAAAGCCUGAUCCAGCCAUGGCGCGUGUGUUGAGAAGGUCUUCGGAUUGUAAAGCACUUUAAGUUGGGAGGAAGGGCAGUAAGUUAAUACCUUGCUGUUUUGACGUUACCAACAGAAUAAGCACCGGCUAACUUCGUG
rnacentral:rRNA from 1 species